GGGGAAGGGGGCAACUGUUUCCCACUUCACUUAAAUAAAAACAGGUUAUUCACUAAAGUGAGAAUUCAAGUGAAUUUCAAAUUUAAGAAGAAAAUAGCCAAAUUGUAAAAAAUCACUAAGCCAGCAUUGCUGGCAGUUCAGCUGUUUUGGUCUUACGUUUUAUUUACUUUGAUUUAUCACUUUAUUGAAUUACCCUGAACAAAGCAAGCAAGCAAGCAUGAAGUUUAUAGUUUGUUUGUUUUUUUUUUUUUUGUUUUUUAAAUGUUGAAAUACAGUGUAAGCUGAUUUAUUUUGUUUUUAUUUUAUGAAUGUACUUUAUUACUUUGCUAUUGAAAUGGAGAACAAUGCUAAGUGAAUGUCUCCACAAAGCACCUUUCCGAAGAAAAAAUGCCAAAUGCAGUCUACUUUAGCACAGCUGUCGAAGACUCCAAGUAACAUAAUCACUACAUCUUACAGUAGUAGUUAUGGUUCUGGAAAUACCCUAUUUCCCACCAAAUAUUAUUUAAUAAAUGUUUUAGAAUUGUUUGACUUCUUACCUGGGAUCCUGCAGGCACUGCUCUCUGCAGCCUCCAAGAGGGUUUAGCUCAGGAAGGCUAACAGAAGCUCCUAGUAAGAACGUACAGCUGCCCUGCAUGCUGGAGAGUAGUGGGGAGCAGGAUCCCAAGUAAGAGGUCAAACCAUUCUAAAAGCUGCUUGACUAUUUUUAUAUUUGGCGGGCUUCAGGACACUCCUGGCACCAUAACCAUUACGGCUUGUGCUUAUGGUGCUUGGAGUGUUGCUUUAACUAAUGCUCAAAAAUAAAAAAAACAGUUGAUGCAACUAUGUAGCAAAUUACUCACUGAUCAUGUGAAACUAGCAAAGGGAAACCUUUAAACUGUGAUUUGUGUUAUGAUGUUCUGUAUUGUUCCUACAGUCCUAAAAUGUAAAAAGUAAGUGGUACCACUGAGCACUAAUAUAUUAAAUGGACACUCAGGACUCCUAAAGAACUGUAGCUUGCUGAACUUCUUUACAAAAAGUGUAGGUUUCAAUAGAAACUGGCACUUUUAUAAAUGUAAUCUGGUUAUACCCACCUGGCUGUCAACCAGAGAACUGUUACUUCCUGGAUUUGUUUUGGUCAGUGGAGCUAAACCCAAGAGGCAGUCAAUUGCUCAGAGGAUCAGCUUUGUAAAGACUUAUUUGAACUGCAUUAGGAAGUCUGUAAUCGGACUGCCACAGAAAGUCUGUACUGGGGAAGAAGGAGUGGGCUUGCAAAGUCUUCAGACAACUGCAACUUUUGCUAACUGUUUAAAUAUACCCACAAUCAAAAAAUGCAUCAAUAAAUGUGUGCGUGUUUUUCAUUUGGGGUAUGCUUACUAAACUGUGAUUUCUAUUUUUGUUUUUUAUUUUGGCAGUGAAAUGUUCCUAUAAAUUCUAUUUUUUUUUUUUCCAGGCUUUCUAAAAAUGUGGUUGUUUGUAUAUAUAUAUAUGUGUAUAUAUAUAUGUGUGUGUGUGUG